rnacentral:rRNA from 1 species
AUUGAACGCUGGCGGCAUGCUUUACACAUGCAAGUCGAACGGCAGCGCGGGCUUCGGCCUGGCGGCGAGUGGCGAACGGGUGAGUAAUGCAUCGGAACGUGCCCAGUCGUGGGGGAUAGCCCGGCGAAAGCCGGAUUAAUACCGCAUACGACCUGAGGGUGAAAGCGGGGGACCGAAAGGCCUCGCGCUAUUGGAGCGGCCGAUGUCGGAUUAGCUAGUUGGUUGGGUAAAGGCUUACCAAGGCGACGAUCCGUAGCUGGUCUGAGAGGACGACCAGCCACACUGGAACUGAGACACGGCCCAGACUCCUACGGGAGGCAGCAGUGGGGAAUUUUGGACAAUGGGGGCAACCCUGAUCCAGCCAUGCCGCGUGCGGGAAGAAGGCCUUCGGGUUGUAAACCGCUUUUGUUCGGGAAGAAAUCCUCUGGGCUAAUACCCCGGGGGGAUGACGGUACCGGAAGAAUAAGCACCGGCUAACUACGUG